CAUGUAUUUGUUUCAAGGUGAAUUUAUUUGCUGUUUUCCCAUAUUACUGAUUCUUUACAUCUUGGAUCUUCCCACUGAGGUAAGAAACAAAACUUUAAGUCCAUGAACAUCUAGAUGAGAGACUGAUUAAAUCUUUUUAAACCUUGAAUCCUUAAUUUCUUUACUGAUCUGCUGUGAGGUAUGUGUAGGAUACCCCAUGAGAACUGUAUCUGCCAUAGGUGGGACAGGAUGAGGCAGAAAAGCAGUGACCACGCCUGGAUCAAGCCCUGUGAAGAUGCUCUCAGGCUGGGCUGCAUGGACUCUUUCAGAUGCUCUCACUAUUCAAUGUUACUGCUGACCAGAAAAUUCAGCUAUUGCUCUGAAAAUCUAUUGCUUAUUUCUGUGACUGAAUUAAACUGAACUUGUGCAAUGAGACACACCAGAAGGCAUCCUCAUUUUAGAAGCCUUGCAUGUAGUUUUCUAAUAUAGUGGACUGUGAAAUUUAGGUCCUGAUUGUAAUUUAGGAUUGGAGUAGGGACUUUGACUUAGGCAUCCCUUGUCAAUGCCCUAGCCUUUUUAGCUACACUGAGAUAUCUUUGUCACCUUCACAGCCCGUUUGAGAAGUUUAAACAAUAUUUCUGUAUACGUGAAACAAUAUUUUCUGAAAAAGAUUGUUGGAAAACAAUUUGAAUUGCUAUAUUCCUUGCUGUAGUGUACUUCUGAAAGAUUAGAAGAGGGAAAACACGUGGCUAUGGAGGCUAUGAGCAGAGAAAAAGAGAUUCAGAUGGUGCUUUAGUCUGUUACAGUUUAAGGUUUAUGAAAAAUAUAAAGAAUUAAAAUAAUUCCACCAAAACAACUGAGUUUAUCCACUAAUUUAUCAAUUGCCUUCCUGAGAUGCUUUUAGCCCUCACUUACAGUGAGAAAAUUUAUGUAAAGUCUUCUAUUGCUGCCUCAGGCCUUUGUAUGAAAUGUUAUUGCAGAUACCCUUUAGUUGUUCUGAGGUAUGUGGACUAUGGUCACACAUUAAAAGUGGACUGAAUGUGUUCUCUGCUGCCCAAAUAACAUGAUGCUGAAUAUUAGGGCAAAGUAUCAUUCGAUGUAAGACAUUACAUAUCCUGAAAUACUUUCUGUUUCACUGUUUUUGUUUCUCACUCCAGAAUAAUAGGCAGGAUUAAUAAUGGGCACAGCUGUUUCCACAAGGAGUGCAAAUUCCUGGUUGCCCAAUACUGGCAUUUUAUUUCAUGAAUGACUGUCAUAAAAUAGAAUAAGAAUUUUGUUUGAAAGCAUCAAAACAUUAUUCUAGGAAUAGAUUUUGCUAUAACUAGAAUUAACCAGAUUAUGUUUUCUCAUGUAUUGUUAGAUCAAGUAAUAUUGCGCUUCUCAAGAGUGGGCUAUAUUUGAGGAAUUUUAUGCUAGUAUAUUGGGAAGCUACAGAAAAAAAUAACAAAAGAGUGUACUUAAUCUACUUAAUUAAAAAACUACAAAAACUUGCAAAAGAAAUUUUAAUGUUUCUAAGUCAAAAUACAGUGUUAUUACUGUCUAUUAAUUUUGUACCUGUAUCUUAAUUGUAUGCCACAAAAGUUAACCUCACCCAUCAAAAGUGAUGGAAAUGGGAAAUAUGUUUAUGGAUGAGGGAUAAAUGCACUGUCAUGUAUGACAUCUGUCAGUUAUAAGGCACUUUUACAGAGAGAUAAAGAGGAAAUAAGAAACAAAUGUACGGUAAUACAGGCUAUCAGGUUAAAUGAACCCAACUCACAUCAGGUCAUGAGACCAGAGUCUUUACAUUACUGUUUCUUUCUAGGGCUUGACAGAUGUAAGGAAGAGAAAUGUACAGCUGAAAGUAAUUUCUGCAUAGGUUUCUCUGGAUAUGAUGCUCUAAGGCCAUUGUUACAACAGCAAGGGCAGCUAGAUGACAACAUUCAUGCUGUGUGGUGCAAGAUAAACCCUUGGAAUAUUUUGUUUCCCAGCCCUCAUGUGGGUUUCUGGACACAUGUCUGCAGUGGGCACAUGGUGGAUUUCUACUGGACUGUUUGGAGGCACCAGAAAUUUUAUACUGCAUGUCUUCAUAACGGAACUUUCCAGUGAAGUUGUAAUGUUCUUCGAGAGCAUGUGGGAAGGUGCUAAAAUAUUCAGAAGAUGCAUUCUCUUCUUGAAAUUUGCUUGGAACUUCUAUCUCAGAAAUGAAGCCUCAAGAAAGGAGGCCUCUGAGACUGUGGCAACCAACUUCUUCUGGAACACCGUAACCAAGCUCCUCCCUGCCCCUUCUGAGAUGCCAAAAUCAGAAGAAACAGCUGCCUGUGUUGUUGUUCACCCAAAAUCCAUGGACAAGGCUCAACUGUCUACUGCAGCCUUCAUUAAUGAUUUUAGAAAAUGUAUAUCAAACACAUCACUGAUUUUUGCCAGACUAAUGGAGCAAAACAAAGAGCAGUGAUAGCACUUAUCCGGAACUAAACAAGCCUGGUAGUACUCCAAAGUACAACUGGUACCUCAGUAAAACCUUCAGCACAUGGAAUUUCUCCAACAGAAUUCUCAGCAGGAAGAAGCUUCAUAGUGUGUUAUUUUGGUUUGGAAACAGCUUCAGCCUCAGAAAAACAAAUAAAUUCCACUCUCCAAGAUCAUUAAAUCUAGUUGAAUGUUAAGAGUUUAGCAAGUGAAUAAACUAAGCAUCAAACAAAAAAGUCUGGGGCUUUUCCAAAUUACCUGUGAAUUAAAAUUUACUAUGGAAGUUUUUUUCAAUGAA